UGGCGACCGGCGCACGGGUGAGUAACGCGUAUGCAACCUGCCCGAUACCGGGGUAUAGCCCAUGGAAACGUGGAUUAACACCCCAUAGUACUUUUAUCCUGCCUGGGAUGGGAGUUAAAUGUUCAAGGUAUCGGAUGGGCAUGCGUCCUAUUAGUUAGUUGGCGGGGCAACAGCCCACCAAGACGAUGAUAGGUAGGGGUUCUGAGAGGAAGGUCCCCCACAUUGGAACUGAGACAUGGUCCAA
rnacentral:rRNA from 1 species